rnacentral:rRNA from 1 species
AGUCGAGGGGCAGCAUUUACUUCGGUAAAUGGCGACCGGCGCACGGGUGAGAAACGCGUAUGCAACCUACCUUUAACUGGGGCAUAGCUCGAGGAAACUCGAAUUAAUUCCCCAUAGUACAUCAUAAUAUCGCAUGAUAUAGAUGUUAAAGAUUUAUCGGUUAAAGAUGGGCAUGCGUCUGAUUAGUUUGUUGGUAAGGUAACGGCUUACCAAGACUACGAUCAGUAGGGGGUCUGAGAGGAUGAUCCCCCACACUGGUACUGAGACACGGACCAGACGUCUACGGACGGCAGCAGUAAGGAAUAUUGGGCAAUGGGCGCAAGCCUGACCCAGCCAUGCCGCGUGCAGGAUGACGACCCUAUGGGUUGUAAACUGCUUUUAUAUAGGAAGAAAAUACUCUUGCGAGAGGAUUUGACGGUACUAUAUGAAUAAGAACCGGCUAACUCCGUGCCAGCAGCCGCGGUAAUACGGAGGGUUCAAGCGUUUUCCGGAUUUAUUGGGUUUAAAGGGUGCGUAGGUGGUUUAUUAAGUCAGUGGUGAAAUCCUGCAGCUCAACUGUAGAACUGCCAUUGAUACUGGUAAACUUGAGUUUGGUUUAGGUAAGUGGAAUUUAUGAUGUAGCGGUGAAAUGCAUAGAUAUCAUAAGGAACACCAAUAGCGAAGGCAGCUUACUGGACCAUAACUGACACUGAGGCACGAAAGCGUGGGUAGCGAAACAGGAUUAAAUACCCUGGUAGUCCACGCCGUAAAC